UACGAAGGGUGCAAGCGUUAGCUCGGAAUUACUGGGCGUAAAGCGAGUGUAGGCGGUUUCAUAAGUCGGGUGUGAAAGCCCCGGGCUCAACCCGGGAAGUGCACUCGAAACUGUGAGGCUAGAGUAUCGGAGAGGUUGGUGGAAUUCUCGGUGUAGAGGUGAAAAUUCGUAGAUAUCGAGAGGAACACCGGUGGCGAAAGGCGGCCAACUGGACGAAUACUGACGC
rnacentral:rRNA from 1 species